rnacentral:rRNA from 1 species
CGUGGGCAAUCUGCCCUUCACUCUGGGACAAGCCCUGGAAACGGGGUCUAAUACCGGAUAACACCGGCUUCCGCAUGGGGGCUGGUUGAAAGCUCCGGCGGUGAAGGAUGAGCCCGCGGCCUAUCAGCUUGUUGGUGGGGUAAUGGCCUACCAAGGCGACGACGGGUAGCCGGCCUGAGAGGGCGACCGGCCACACUGGGACUGAGACACGGCCCAGACUCCUACGGGAGGCAGCAGUGGGGAAUAUUGCACAAUGGGCGAAAGCCUGAUGCAGCGACGCCGCGUGAGGGAUGACGGCCUUCGGGUUGUAAACCUCUUUCAGCAGGGAAGAAGCGAAAGUGACGGUACCUGCAGAAGAAGCGCCGGCUAACUACGUGCCAGCAGCCGCGGUAAUACGUAGGGCGCAAGCGUUGUCCGGAAUUAUUGGGCGUAAAGAGCUCGUAGGCGGCUUGUCACGUCGGGUGUGAAAGCCCGGGGCUUAACCCCGGGUCUGCAUCCGAUACGGGCA